UGCGCUAUAGCUACCUGUCUCCUGGUCAAUCCCAAGGCUGGCCAUUGCCCAUUCAUAGGACUUGGGUUACUUUUUCAGUGCUAAGGUAGGAAAUAAAUCUACAAAGAAAGAAGAGAUGAUUAAGAAGAGAGGUGGGUUAGGUCGGAUUGAAGUUUGCUUUUGGACCUGGCUGGCAUUUAGCUUUCUGACUGUACUAGUCCUUGUGAUUCAGCAGUAGCUGACCAAUAUUGGUCCCCCAACCCCAACUCCAUCCCCUCUCUACCCUUCCCCCAACAGGUUCUCUUUACGUGCAGCUCCUAGCCUCCCUCUACUCUCCACUCCAAAAUGUCCUGGUCUGGCCAAGGACUCCCUAGCCUUGCUUUUCAAAAGGCUCCUCACCAGCUCUGAACACCACCGGCUCCCCCUCCUCCCUGCCAGCCCGGCUGGAGUCCGCAGGCACGCCAGGCACACGUGGAAUGCUGCCAGUCGCAGGAGAUCCCAAGCGAGAUAAAAAGCGCACAUCUUUGACCACUUCUUUACCAAACAGACCCAAGAUGUGUAAUUAAAGGCCCCGGGACUCUGCUGGAAAUAGGUUUAAACUUGAGGUAAUCCCUUCUGGCACUUCCUCUUCCUAAUGACAUCAACAGAAAUCAAACAAAUCCACCUGGCUCCAGUCAGUAAGUCUGUAACCAGCAAAGGUCACGGGAGGAGCGAUAAGAACAAGAAAGCGGCCACAAACCGCGUUACUGGAAACACAUGUUGGGACGUGUUGGAAAGCAACCCCCGCCAGGUCCCUGCUCGCUCUGGGACAGCGACGAGGCGAGCAGCCUUCCCCGCCUCUGCCUCCGCCUCCCCAGCCAGCACUUUAUUUUUCUUUACCUCCUAGACUAAGACUUGGGUACGGGGGCAAGGGUGAGACCAUGGUUUGUUCGGAGGUGGGGGAAGAAAGGCUUGCCACUGUAGAACUGGGAGGGCAGCUUCACCCCUUAUUCAGCAGCGAGGACCCCUGCAGACUGCCUUGGGAACCCGCCUUCAGUCUCCUACUGCCGGCAUGUACAGAUAGCAGAGAUACAAGCAGGCUCGCAUGGGAAAGUGAUUCUUCAAACUUUUAAACCGCCCUGCGCUGUUUUAUUACCAGGUCGGGCAGUUGCAACAGACCUCGCCAGCGUGGCUUAAGCAACACAACAAUGUUCUCACAGCUCAGGAGGCUGAGAAGUUCGUUCAGGGUGCUCAGCUGGUUCCUGGAGAGGUCUUCCCUUUCUUGCUUGCUUGUCGACGGCGCUGUCUCCAAAUGCAGCUACACCAGGUGGCUACAGCUUUUCACUUCCGAGUUUGGAGAGACCGUGAUUCAGCCCACAGCACUCAAGUGUGAUUGGAGUAUUCGAAGGACAGUGAGGGAAACAGGACCACACAUGAUGGCUCUUCAAGUCCCACUCAGAGAAUGCGUGGUGGGCAGGCCUGGGGGGAGGGCACGCGGAGGGCUGGGGAUCUCUCUCUGUUUUCCACAAACUCAGUAUGUCCGGUCACAAACCAGGAACUCCUAAACUGAGCUGCAAUUGUGGUUGAGAGAGAGAGAGAGAGAGAGAGAGAGAGAACCCCGUUCUUGCAGUGAGUGUAGAGUAAUUGAGGGGAAGCCAGGGUGACUGCAGCCCGCAGAUAGAAUGUCACCUCUAGUGAGCAUCUCCAUCUUCCUGUUUUCACAAGGGAAGGUGAGCACUUUAAAGCCAGAUAUGUGGUUUUCGUCUCUGGCUGCCAACAAGCUUUACAGGAUUCAAAGCUUACGGUCAGUGGUGAGCGGUGCUUUGAAACUGACCAGUUAGGCUUGAAUCUUGUGGCUAGGUUAGGGGUGAUAGGUCUUUUGAAGAUUUUAGCCCCAAGGACCUUUCAAGACAAGAAGCAGAAAAAAACUUCAUUUUCCAAGGACUGAUGUUCUGUCUUCACUGAGCCUUGUCCAAAAGCCACCACUCAUCAGCUGAGCCACCUUUGGGCAGUAACUUACCCUCUCGGGGCUGUUCCCUUAAUCUUAAGAGUGGGUUAACAGGGGCUGGAGAGAUGGCUCAGUGGUUAAGAGCACUGACUGCUCUUCUAAAAGGUCGUGAGUUCAAAUCCCAGCAACCAUAUGGUGGCUCACAACCAUCCGUAAUGAGAUCUGACACCCUCUUCUGGUGUGUCUGAAGACAGCUACAGUGUACUUAGAUAUAAUAAUAAAUAAAUCUUAAAAAAAAAAAAAAGAGUGGGUUAACAGUGUGAUUUCCAAGAAUCUGAAGGGCUUCACUUUAGAAAGAGCUCGGAAUAUGGAGUGCCUGCUUACUAAGGCCAGAGGGGUCAGAGUUCUUAUAUCCAUUCGGACUUUUUAGAAUCCACCUUCUCUUUUCUGCAAGAUGCUAUAGAGACCCAGCAAAGGGAGGCUAGAGAGACGGCUCCGUGUUAAGAUCACUUAAUGCUCUCCCAGAGGACCUGAGUUCGGUUCCCAGAGCUUACUCCAGGGUUCACAACUGCCUGGACCUUCAACUCCAGGGCAUCUAAACCCACUGCCCUCUUCUGGCCCUCACAGGUAGACUGACAGCUUACGAGUCACAGCAGUCCUCCUGUUCCCGCUCCCCACAGACCUGCAGCUACAGGCCCACUGGAGACCAUGUCCAGCUUGCUACCUGGGUGCUGAGAUUUGAACCCAGGUCCUCAUGGUUGUGCUGCAAGGGCUCUCAGCCAUCUCUCAGUCCUCCAAGAGAAAAAUUUAAAAGCCUGUUUCCCUUUAUCUCUUUUAAUUAGUGUAUUAAAUAGUGUGUGUGUGUGUGUGUGUGUGUGUAUGUGUGUGUGUGUGUGAGCAUGCACACGCAAGUAUGAGUGUGAAAUUCAGAGGCCAGUUUUUGGAAGCCAGCUCUCUUCUACCAGCUUAUGUGGGUUCUGGGGAUCCCCACUCUCCCAUCUCUGCCUGCUGCCAGGACAACUUGACGAGAGGCACCAUGCCCGGCCAUUAAUCUGUUCUCUGUCACUAGUCCUUUGCCUGGGGGUACCCUGGGUGCCACAUUUGCACAUUGUGUACACUCCAUUUGUACACACACCACUGGAACCAGGAACAUUUGCUCAUGCUUGCUGGCCUUUUUUAAAAGGCAAACUCUUAAAGUAUGUUAUAAGCUAUGUGUGAUUUCCCUGAACAUUUCCAUGUGCGUGUGUCAGAUGUUAAGAGUGUGUUCCUUGGUGGCUUCUGUGCUGUAUCAGAGCAUAGAAAUGCCGCAAAUGCCAUGAGAUACCAGAUCCACAUCUGCAUUUCUUCAGUGUCCCCACAAAUAUCUCCUACAGCUGACUUGUCCAAAUCAGGACCAGAUAGAGAGCCUGGUAGUUACGGCUUUUAAGAUACUUUUAUUGACGAACAUGCCUGGCUCCUUUCCCUCCUUCUCCUUCUAUAUGAUAUCAGACACUGCCUUGUUAAGAUACCGGGCAGGUUGCCUGCUCCUGUGGGGUGGGUCUGCCUGUCUCCCGAGAUGUUUGACUCCUCCCAUCCAUCGCCCCCCUUCAGAGAGGCCUGAAGUUAGGGUUAAGAGCUUAAUUCUGUUCAGAAUGGCCACACGCCCCACUUCCUGGAACCUCCCAUUAAGAGGCAUAUCUUGUUUGCCCCUGCUGUUCUGACGAUGUCUAGAGUAAGAAGGUCCAGUCAGUGUCAAAUUACUUUUGCCAUUUGUUCUACUUGCAGCCGACACACAACACAGUGCAGGGGACAGGGCUUUGGUACCACCUGAAUAUCCAGUUCACCAAAGACAAGAUUUAACCAAUAGCAUUUGAGUCCUUUAUUAUCCCUGAAGGAAUCCUCUGUUUUGUCGGGGCUUCGCAAAAGUGACCUCCUAAUGAUUGGCCUUUCUAUACUGUAAUCUUGAAUCUGUAAAAGAAGACCAGCCCUCUCUUAUUACCCUGAAAUUUAGUUCUUCCUGGCAAGUUGGGAUAAAGGCUGAAUUCCUGAGUUUCCAAGGGUAACCCUGGUCUUUAGGAGGCUGUAGAAUGAACGCGACUGGGGAGCUUGAGGGUCUCCAGAGGAAACUUCAUUUCCUCCACUUUCCCCUGAGAUCACCCCACUUUUUGGGAAACCAGCCAGAGGGACACACGUGUUCUCGAAAGUUCCCGAGUGCGAGCAUUUGUGGCAGGCAGCUGCAGAGCCCCCAGAGCUUUCCACCGAAGCAGAGAGGAAGGGUGUUAGACUUGGUUCCUUCCUCCCCGGAUGCUUAGGGUCCUCAUUCUUUUGGAAUGGGGGGUGGGGGUGGAUCUUUGGGGUGGGACUCUCAUCUCAGGGCUCUUCGCUCUGGCUCUGCUUUGAAGGGACAAGCUCCCGUCAGUCUUCUUUCCAAAUGGCCAUGCGUUUUCCAGUCUUUACUUACUUUGCCCUGACUAACAACAGGCCAAAGGGUUAUCUGUCCAACAUUCACCUAAUGGUAGGAAAGCGUCACCGGUGGUUCAGUUUAUUACCCAGCUGACCCUCCGAGGGACAACCUUAAAGAGCUCAUUGUUCAGUUUGAAUGACUGAUGCUCGCAUACAGAAAGUGGAGUGGGAAGCGUCAGCCCAAAUGGAUGUGUGGAAGCAAACACUAAACCCCCUAUCCUGAUCACCUAUUGGUCUCCUGCCAUAUAUUGAUCCAUUAGCCUCAAACGCCUCUCGGAGAUGGGUAGCAUCGUCCUAUAGUUCUGAUGAGAUAACUGCACAGCCUAUCCAGGGCCACUCGGCUCUUACACUCAGGCCCUGUGUGAGCCACGCCUGCAUUCCACCUAGCACCGGGUACUGUUUGUUCUCUUACCAAGUGUUCUGUGAAACAGGAGUAUAGAGAAAUGGGGCUGUCAUGGUUACUAUAUAACAUUGUUGCUUUGGGAUUUCCCCCAUUUCACAUGUAACUAUUGAAACAAUAUUGUGUUAACUAUGUAUUAAAUAUAUUGCAUAGUAAAGAAAAUCUUCAUAGGAAAAAAUAUGCCUUAUAACCACAGCACCUUAAUUUAAUAAGUGCUUUUAUUUUUAAAUAUCUCCCUCAGAUCUUUGCCCCUAGGCGUUGGUAUUCCUGCAUAGGACUGAUCAGCACAGAUGCUAUUUCAUGCUUUCUUGUUUGACUUUAUAUGCAUUAUAAAUAUUUUUAUGAAGCCCUUACAUUUUCAGGGUUACAGACUGGAUCCUACCUCACUGGGUAAGUACAGCAUUUACUUAGCCAAUCUAACUCGUGUAGGCCUCAUCUGGAUAGAUAUACAUUUCUGCUAGAAAAAGAAAAACAAAGUGAGGCUAGAGAGUUGGCUUAGCAGUUAAAAGCACUGACUGCUCUUCCAGAAGUCCUGAGUUCAAAUCCUUAGCACCCACAUGGUGGCUCACAGGGUCUAUAACUGUAUUCCUCGGAAUCCUAUGUCUUCUUCUGGUGUGCAGAUGUACAUGAAAAUCAAACACCCAUAUACAUCAAAUACACAAGGAAAUAAAUCUUUUUUUUUUUAAGUGAGAUUCUCUGUGGAUUUUUCUUUUGACCCUCUUGUAAAUUCUUAAGAGAAACUCCUAGGGGUUGGCUACCUGACUCAAAAAGCUAGACAUUCUUUGUUUUUUGAGAUAGGGUUUCUCUGUGUAUCCCUGACUGUCCUGGAACUCACUAUAUAAGACCAGGCUGGCCUGGAACUGUAGAAAUCUGACUGCCUCUGCCUCUGCCUCUGCCUCUGCCUCUGCCUCUGCCUCUGCCUCUGCCUCUGCCUCUGCCUCUGCCUCUGCCUCUGCCUCUGCCUCUGCCUCUGCCUCUGCCUCUGCCUCUGCCUCUGCCUCUGCCUCUGCCUCUGCCUCUGCCUCUGCCUCUGCCUCUGCCUCUGCCUCUGCUGAAAUUAAAGUUGUAUGCUCCCACCACCUGGUAAAGCUGAGCAUUUGAUGGUACUUGACAUGCGUUGCUAAGUUGCUCUCUGGAAGACUGUACCAUCGGGAGGCCAAGGCCUUGUCAAUGCUGGGUGGUGCC
rnacentral:lncRNA from 1 species